UAAAUCCAUUUAUACACCCUUGUGAACUGUGCGCUGAAGUUGCUACGCUCGUCGUGCAACUUUCUUUGCAAAAACUACUUAAUUUAAAAAAGCUGAAGCAAUUAUAUUAAAUAAAA
rnacentral:misc_RNA from 1 species